UACGGAGGGGGCUAGCGUUGGUCGGAAUUACUGGGCGUAAAGCGCACGUAGGCUGCUUUGCAAGUCAGAGGUGAAAGCCCGGGGCUCAACCCCGGAAUUGCCUUUGAGACUGCAUCGCUAGAAUUGUGGAGAGGUAAGUGGAAUUCCGAGUGUAGAGGUGAAAUUCGUAGAUAUUCGGAAGAACACCAGUGGCGAAGGCGACUUACUGGACACAUAUUGACGCUGAGGUGCGAAAGCGUGGGGAGCAAACAGG
rnacentral:rRNA from 1 species